ensembl:lncRNA
GUGUGCAGAGACACUGAGGUGGGGUGGAUCCAUGGAGGAGGCGUGCAGAGACACUGAGGUGGGUGGAUCCAUGGAGGAGGCAGAGACACUGAGGUGGGGUGGAUCCAUGGAGGAGGCAGAGACACUGAGGUGGGGUGGAUCCAUGGAGGAGGCAGAGACACUGAGGUGGGGUGGAUCCAUGGAGGAGGCAGAGACACUGAGGUGGUGUGGAUCCAUGGAGGAGGCAGAGACACUGAGGUGGGUGGAUCCAUGGAGGAGGCAGAGACACUGAGGUGGGGUGGAUCCAUGGAGGAGGCAGAGACACUGAGGUGGGAUGGAUCCAUGGAGGAGGCAGAGACACUGAGGUGGUGUGGAUCCAUGGAGGAGGCAGAGACACUGAGGUGGGGUGGAUCCAUGGAGGAGGCAGAGACACUGAGGUGGGAUGGAUCCAUGGAGGAGGCAGAGACACUGAGGUGGUGUGGAUCCAUGGAGGAGGCAGAGACACUGAGGUGGGGUGGAUCCAUGGAGGAGGCAGAGACACUGAGGUGGGGUGGAUCCAUGGAGGAGGCAGAGACACCGAGGUGGGGUGGAUCCAUGGAGGAGGCAGAGACACUGAGGUGGAUCCAUGGAGGAGGCAGAGACACCGAGGUGGGGUGGAUCCAUGGAGGAGGCGUGCAGAGACACUGAGGUGGGUGGAUCCAUGGAGGAGGCG